AUGUCAUCAACACCCACAGCAAAGAGGCAGCAUUGUACUCCAGGGUAUCAUGCCGAGUGCUAUCGCCACUUUUGUAACAUUACCACAAUCAAUAGAGCAAUAGCCAGAUGCAGAAGGAAGAAAGAAGCUGACAAGAUUCAAGCAGGAUCAGAUCAAGCCCAUCAUGAUGAGCCACCUGACCCAGCCCCCAAGAGACUGCUUCGGUCCAACAUAAAUGUCAGUGAUGGUCAACAAUCAAAAGAUCGACAGUGUGAUCGAAAGCGUGUCCUCCCAGUGCAAUGCAUCAUCUGCAAACGCAUGAAAUACAUCAAAGAACAAUGUUCUGGUAAGAGAAAAGUAGAGAAAUUAGUUCAAUGUGAAACAAAACAUGGUGGGCAGUUACUUGCUGCUGCCGCCACUAUGAAGCAAGAUGAAGCAUUAUUACUGCACAUUAGGGACCAAGAUCUUGUAGCUAUUGAAGCAAGAUAUCACAAAUCAUGCUACCUUAGAUAUACUAAGGUUGUUGCGAAGUCUGUAGAAAUAAGCAAGCAAGAAUAUCAGCAACAAAUGUAUGAGAAGUCNNNNNNNNNNCUCCUUUCUACCAUUAACUAAUUAUUGACAGAAUGGUAAAAAUCAAUACCCAGUGAUUACUAUACUAUAAAAUCUAACUGUCAUUAAUCCGACUGUAUGUUCUGCUCUAAAUUCUGCUGUCACUUAUAUUUAUCUUCUUCCUAGUAAUCUACACUCUCUUGCUCAUUUCCCAUCCGACUUAAUAAAAUACAGUGCUGAGUGUAUAUCAUUGCUUGAAUGGUAUUUUUUCAAUUUACGGAAAGAAGUAAUGACUCAUUUACAAAUUCUUUCUUCUCUCUUAUCAGGAGGCAGCAUUGUACUCCAGGGUAUCAUGCCGAGUGCUAUCGCCACUUUUGUAACAUUACCACAAUCAAUAGAGC
rnacentral:lncRNA from 1 species